CCUACGGGGGGCUGCAGUGGGGAAUCUUGGACAAUGGGCGCAAGCCUGAUCCAGCCAUGCCGCGUGAGUGAAGAAGGCCUUCGGGUUGUAAAGCUCUUUUACCAGGGACGAUAAUGACGGUACCUGGAGAAUAAGCCCCGGCAAACUUCGUGCCAGCAGCCGCGGUAAUACGAAGGGGGCUAGCGUUGUUCGGAAUUACUGGGCGUAAAGCGCACGUAGGCGGAUUGUUAAGUCAGAGGUGAAAUCCCGGAGCUCAACUUCGGAACUGCCUUUGAUACUGGCAAUCUAGAGUCCGGAAGAGGUUAGUGGAAUUCCCAGUGUAGAGGUGAAAUUCGUAGAUAUUGGGAAGAACACCAGUGGCGAAGGCGGCUAACUGGUCCGGUACUGACGCUGAGGUGCGAAAGCGUGGGGAGCAAACAGGAUUAGAUACCCCGGUAGUC
rnacentral:rRNA from 2 species